rnacentral:rRNA from 1 species
AACAGUUAUAGUUUAUUUGAUGGUCACUCGUUACAUGGAUAACUGUGGUAAUUCUAGAGCUAAUACAUGCAUAAAAACCCGACUUCACGGAAGGGUUGUAUUUAUUAGAUACAGAACCGAUCCUGCUUGCAGGUUUUGGAUGAUUCAUAGUAAAUGAACGGAGCGUAUGGCAUGUGCCGACGCUGUGUCAUUCAAGUUUCUGACCUAUCAGCUAUCGACGGUAGGGUAUUGGCCUACCGUGGCAUUGACGGGUAACGGAGAAUUAGGGUUCGAUUCCGGAGAGGGAGCCCGAGAAACGGCUACCACAUCUAAGGAAGGCAGCAGGCGCGCAAAUUACCCAAUCUUGACACAGGGAGGUAGUGACGAAGAAAUAACAAAGCGAGGCGAAAUUUCGCUUUUGCUAUUGGAAUGAGUAGAAUUUAAAUCCCUUUACGACUAUCGAUUGGAGGGCGAGUCUGGU